GCGGCCGUAGUUCAAUGGUAGAACACGGGCCUUCCAAGCCCGUUAUGUGGGUUCGAUCCCCAUCGGCCGCU
rnacentral:tRNA from 1 species